rnacentral:ncRNA from 2 species
UUAAUAGUCAAUCUUUACGGUGCUUGCUUUGGAUCGAUAGACCAAAGCAGGAUAAUCGGGAAACCAGUGUAAAUCUGGUACUGCCCCCGCAACGGUGAUUGGUGAGAGUCAGGUGCGCAACAGUGUUGCGUUAAUCAUCUCGGCUCGCGUGCGUUUACCUUUAGUGUAACGCCAAAACCUCAGUCCGGAGACCGGCCUUAAAGGUGAUUUCGAU